GACGUAGGGCGCGAGCGUUGUCCGGAUUCACUGGGUUUAAAGGGUGCGUAGGCGGGCAGGUAAGUCAGUGGUGAAAUCUCCGGGCUUAACCCGGAACUGCCGUUGAUACUAUCUGUCUUGAAUAUCGUGGAGGUAAGCGGAAUAUGUCAUGUAGCGGUGAAAUGCUUAGAUAUGACAUAGAACACCCAUUGCGAAGGCAGCUUACUACACGAUCAUUGACGCUGAGGCACGAAAGCGUGGGGAGCAAACAGG
rnacentral:rRNA from 1 species